rnacentral:rRNA from 1 species
AGUUGGAAUUGCUAGUAAUCGUGGAUCAGCAUGCCACGGUGAAUACGUUCCCGGGUCUUGUACACACCGCCCGUCACACCAUGGGAGUCGGUAACACCCGAAGUCAGUAGUCUAACCGCAAGGAGGACGCUGCCGAAGGUGGGAUUGACGACUGGGGUGAAGUCGUAACAAGGUAAC